rnacentral:tRNA from 1 species
GCCCCCACCUGGGACAAUAGGUGUAGAUCGGAUUCAAAACCCGUCCAGUGUCGGUUCGAGUCCGACCGGGGGCACCA